UGGGGAAUAUUGCACAAUGGGCGCAAGCCUGAUGCAGCAACGCCGCGUGAGGGACGACGGCCUUCGGUUGUAAACCUCUUUUAGUAGGGAAGAAGCGAAAGUGAACGGUACCUGCAGAAAAAGCACCGGCUAACUACGUGCCAGCAGCCGCGGUAAUACGUAGGGUGCGAGCGUUGUCCGGAAUUAUUGGGCGUAAAGAGCUCGUAGGCGGUCUGUCGCGUCUGCUGUGAAAACCCGAGGCUCAACCUCGGGCCUGCAGUGGGUACGGGCAGACUAGAGUGCGGUAGGGGAGAAUGGAAUUCCUGGUGUAGCGGUGGAAUGCGCAGAUAUCAGGAGGAACACCGAUGGCGAAGGCAGUUCUCUGGGCCGUAACUGACGCUGAGGAGCGAAAGCGUGGGGAGCGAACAGGAUUAGAUACCCUGGUAGUCCACGCCGUAAAACGUUGGGCGCUAGAUGUGGGGACCAUUCCACGGUUUCCGUGUCGCAGCUAACGCAUUAAGCGCCCCGCCUGGGGAGUACGGCCGCAAGGCUAAAACUC
rnacentral:rRNA from 1 species